GACGAACGCUGGCGGCGUGCUUAACACAUGCAAGUCGAACGGAAAGACCCUGCUUUUGUGGGGUGCUCGAGUGGCGAACGGGUGAGUAACACGUGAGUAACCUGCCCUUGACUUUGGGAUAACUUCAGGAAACUGGGGCUAAUACCGGAUAGGAGCUCCUGCUGCAUGGUGGGGGUUGGAAAGUUUCGGCGGUUGGGGAUGGACUCGCGGCUUAUCAGCUUGUUGGUGGGGUAGUGGCUUACCAAGGCUUUGACGGGUAGCCGGCCUGAGAGGGUGACCGGCGACAUUGGGACUGAGAUACGGCCCAGACUCCUACGGGAGGCAGCAGUGGGGAAUAUUGCACAAUGGGCGGAAGCCUGAUGCAGCAACGCCGCGUGCGGGAUGACGGCCUUCGGGUUGUAAACCGCUUUCGCCUGUGACGAAGCGUGAGUGACGGUAAUGGGUAAAGAAGCACCGGCUAACUACGUG
rnacentral:rRNA from 1 species